UAAGGUGAAGUAUUUUAUGUACAUCUUAGUUACAUUAAGAGAGACCAGAGUUUUGGCGCCUUAA
rnacentral:tRNA from 1 species